GGAGAGGUGACCGAGCGGCCGAAGGUGCACGCCUGGAAAGCGUGUGUGCCCUUACGGGCACCGAGGGUUCGAAUCCCUCCCUCUCCG
rnacentral:tRNA from 1 species